rnacentral:rRNA from 1 species
AAUGCUGAAGAAACUGCUAGAUUACUUGCAAUUGGAGAGCAAAGGGGGUUUCUGGGUAUGCUCGGAAGCAUCGACUGCAUGCAUUGGAAGUGGAAAAAUUGCCCUACUGCACACAAAGGUUUUUUUGUUGGCCAUAAACGCGUACCCACGGUCAUUCUUGAAGCCGUUGCUUCACAAGACCUUUGGAUUUGGCAUUCUUUCUUUGGUUUACCAGGAUCUCAUAAUGAUAUAAAUGUCCUCCACCGUUCACCCGUGUUUGCAAACCUAGUUGAAGGGCAUGCUCCAGAAGUGAAUUAUACCAUCAAUGGUCACAACUACAACAUGGGGUAUUACCUUGCAGAUGGCAUAUAUCCGCAGUGGGCAACAUUUGUGAAGACAAUUCCAAAUCCAAAAGGUGAGAAAAACAAAAAUUUCUCCCGGUUUCAAGAAGCAUAUCGGAAGGAUGUCGAACGAGCCUUUGGUGUUCUGCAAGCUCGUUUUGCUACUGUACGUGGGCCGGCAAGGUAUUGGGAUCUGGAGACACUCGGAGAAGUGAUGACAGCUUGUAUCAUCCUGCAUAACAUGAUAAUUGAAGACGAGCGUGGAAGUCAUGUAGACUACCGCUACGAUAACAUGGGAGAACUAGUGACACCUUCUCACCGAGAGGCGGCUACAUUGACUCAGUUUCUUCAAGCUCAGAGUGAUAUUCGA